UCCAAAUAAUAUAAAAAAUAAUAACCAAUCACGUUAUCACAAAAAAUAUAUAAGAAAGACUUCUACAGAUAACUCAUUUAAUUUUAAUUCUGACCAUAGGAAUUAUAGGGCUACAAAUAAUAAUAAUAAUAAUAUUGAUGGAUUUGACGAAGGACACUAUAAAGAGGUUAAUUAUUAUAGCGGUGACGAGUACUAUAACCGUAAAGAUAACAAUUUAGAUAAUAACCUAUUUCAUAAUAGUGAAAAUGGCUAUAAUGGACAUUACAGUAGUUAUAAUAUCGGACAUUACGACGAUCGAUGUCGGGGUGAUGGAUAUCGAGAUGAUGGAUAUCGAGAUGAUGGAUAUCNNNNNNNNNNNNNNNNNNNNNNNNNNNNNNNNNNNNNNNNNNNNNNNNNNNNNNNNNNNNNNNNNNNNNNNNNNNNNNNNNNNNNNNNNNNNNNNNNNNNAUGGAUAUCGAGAUGAUGGAUAUCGAGAUGAUGGAUAUCGAGAUGAUAGAUAUCGAGAUGAUGGAUAUCGAGAUGAUAGAUAUCGGGAUGAUAGAUAUGAUGAUGGUGAGUAUCGUCAUAAUGAUUUUGGUGGUAAAUAUAAUAACGAAAAAACAGGAACGUAUAAUAACGAACAUACUGGAAAAUAUAAUAACAAGUUUAUAAGUAAACAUAAUAGUAAAUAUACAAGUAGGUAUCAUAAUGAAUAUAUUAACAAAUAUCGUAAUGAAUAUAAUGAUAAAUAUCGAGACGAGCAUAAUGAUAAACGUAAUAGUAGUAUUACUUACCAACAUAAUGAAGAAAUAAAAUUUCAAUUAAACAAAAUAAAUGAUUUACAGAGUUCGUUAUUUAAUGCAUCAAAAUCAAAUGAAAAAAUUUUUAAUAAGAAUACGUCUGAUGAUAUGUAUUAUGUGAAUAAUAAUAACAAUAAUAGUAGUGGGGGUAAUAUAACUAUGGGUACUAUCGAUAGUGGCAAUAACAAUAAUAAUACUAAUAAUAUUAUAAAGAAUGUACAAAAUGAUGAAACAAUUAAAACUGAUAAUAAUACCUGUGACAUUAAUAGCGGCAUAUCAAAAAAUAAAGAGACUAUUAAAGAUAGUAUACUAAGCAAACUAUCUCUACUUAGAAAUAUACCUUUUAAUGUAAAAAACGAUGAUAGUAAUAACAAAUGUAAAACUGAUAAUACUAGUGGAACUGUUGAUUAUAAAAAUGAACAAGAAAAAAGCAAAUUAGAAAAACAUACGAUGAUAAUAAAUGAUUUAAGAAAAUGUUUAAUUAAUAAAAACGAUUCGAAUUUGGAUUUAUCUAAUGGAGAACAGGAAACAAAUAAUAUUAAUAAUUCAUAUAUGGGUAGUACCAACACAAGUAUAAAUAUCAAUUCUAUCGAUAUUGGUAAUACAAAAAUAGCUAGCGAUAGCACACACUUAGAACCCAAUUUUUAUAAUGACUAUAUACAACCGUUUGUGGAUACAAAACUUACUAAUAACAAUACAAACAUAUUAAUAAACAAUCGAAUGAAUCCUUAUAAUGUUGACAAUACUGAGUACUUUAAUAAUAAUGAGGAGAUGUGUAUUGAUUAUACAAAUAGUAGACUUCUAGGUAGUCAAAACAGUCUUUAUAAUAAACAAACGAACCGUACGAAUGGUAUGGAUGGUAUAAAUGGUAUGGAUGGUAUGGAUGGUAUGGAUGGUAUGGAUGGUAUGGAUGGUACGAAUGGUAUGGAUGGUAUGAAUAGUAUGGAUGGUAUGAAUAGUAUGAAUGGUAUGAAUGGUAUGAAUGGUAUGAAUGGUAUGAAUGGUACGAAUGGUAUGAAUGGUAUAAAUGGUAUGAAUGAACAUAAUGUGAAUAGCAUGUUGGUACAAGAAUCGUCUGUAGUAGUUAAUGAAAACAACAAUAGUUGUGGUAUUACUAGUUUUUACAAAUCGAAUGAACUACAAGGAUUGAACAAAAAAGAAGAUAUGAAAAAUAACAACGUAACUUAUAGUAACAAACCAAAUGCAAAUGGAAACAAUUUUUUCCCAGAGAUACAAAUUAAAGAAUCUUUAAAGGUGUUAAAUACAUUACAAGUAGAUAUAGAAAGAGUGUGUUGUUAUAUAAAACACUUUAUAGAACCACCUGAACAAUUAUUUGAAGUAAUGUCAACUGUAUUUUUAGAUAGUACAGUAUUAACAACUUCGAAGACGG
rnacentral:lncRNA from 1 species